GGAAGGAUCAUUAACUACGGUGCGUAAUCACCGGUAACUAAACUACCAAACAAACCCGUGGUCCUAUAUUGCACGAAUUUGUCCUUUACUAUAGAUGGAAACACUAUUCGAUCACUUAAUGGAAUGGGUGGGAUCUUAAAACAAUCCCUGGUCGAGUUUUCAUUAUUAUAGUAUGUUAGUUUUGGCAUUAAUUCGUGGGUAAAUAAUACCAUUUCAUUUUUUUUAUCUUUGUUCCAUAUUUUACUAAUUACUAAUUUGAUGUCGUGUAAUGCGGUCGAAAGACGGUUGCACGUAAAAUCUUUAAAACCGAACAACUUUCAGCAGUGGAUGUCUCGGCUUUCGUACCGAUGAAGAACGCAGCGAACCGCGAUAGCUAAUGCGAAUUGCAGUUCUCCGUGAGUCAUCGAGUCUUUGAACGCAACUAGCGCCGCUUGGUUAUUCCUUGCGGCUUGCCUCUCUGAGUGUCGAUUCUAACUUAUCUCGGCGGCGCCUUUUUUUUAUAAAAGGGCGUGCGGUCGGACAAUGAGAGUGUAAAUUAUAUUUUAUGAUUUACUCUCUUUAAAUAUAGCGGAUUCUUGAACUUUUUUACUGUUGCCUUAUGCUUUAUUGCGAGGCCUCUUUUAGUUCUCAUGAAGCGCAAGCCAUCACACUUAGCGUGCGCCUGAGUAAAGUUUGCUGUGUGCAAGCUCUCUAGGUUGCUGCUAAGGCAUGGAUGCGUUAGUAGUGGGCUCUAUUUAAAGAGAAGUAAAAAAAUGAACAAAAAGGAUCCUGAUGGAAAUUUAUAUAUGAAAUUAUUUUUUUAAUAAUUUCACUAAUUCUAAGACCUCAGAUGAAGCAAGAGGACCCCCUGAAUUUAAGCAUAUUAUUAAGGGGAGGAAAAGAAAAUAACAAUGAUUCCCCUAGUAGCGGCGAGCGAACAGGGAAAAGACCAAAAUGAAAACCGGGAUGUUUUAACUAACAUCUCGGGUUGUAAUAUAAAGACGUGUUGCCAGCUAUGGCCUGAGCAUAAGUCCUUUGGAAAAAGGCAUCGCAGAGGGUGAAAAUCCCGUAUGUGAUUCAGAGCUCGUAGCGUACGGCGUACGUUCUAAGAGUCGGGUUGUUUUGUAAUACAGCCCUAAUCAGGAGAUAAAUUUCUUCUAAGUCUAAAUACACACGAAAGACCGAUAGCGAACAAGUACCGUGAGGGAAAGAUGAAAAGAACUUUGAAAAGAGAGUUAAAAAGUACCUGAAACUGCUGGAAGAGAAGCGCUGGAAAUCUCUAUAAUACGAGCAGUCAUAUUUACUAUUUGGUAAGGCGUGCGCUGUACUGUAAUGAGGGUAACCCUUUCUGUGCGGUUGCUGCUUUGCUGGGUGGGUUCUGUGGCUGCGAGUCUGUCAGAAUGGGUUCGAGUUGUGGGAAAAAACUUGCGAGAAGGUAGCUCCAAUUCGUUGGAGUGUUAUAGCUUGCUUGUAAUACCAUGGCUUGGACUGAGGAACAAAAACAACGCGGCCCUUGCAUCAGGGGUCGACGGAGUCUUGACCGUUCUAAGCUUGUUUGGGGUGUAAAACAAAGUUUUGCAUCUUACUAAGUUUGGUCCUGUGCCGAGUUCCUCCAGUUGCGUUGUCGUGAUUCUGCUUAGUUGAUUUUCAGCGACCCGUCUUGAAACACGGACCAAGGAGUCUAACAUAUGUGCGAGUCUUUGGGCAGCAAACCCUUGGGCGAAACGAAAGUGAAGUCCGCUUCGGCGGAUGAGGUGCCAACCUAAUGAAAGUUAGGUGCAGCAUCGGCCAAUCGUCACUUGUGAUAGAUUUGAGCAAGAGCACUCAUGUUAGGACCCGAAAGAUGGUGAUCUAUGCCUGAACAGAAUGAAGCCAGGGGAAACUCUGGUGGAAGUUCGUCGCGAUACUGACGUGCAAAUCGUUCGUCUGAUUUGGGUAUAGGGGCGAAAGACUAAUCGAACCAUCUAGUAGCUGGUUCCCUC
rnacentral:misc_RNA from 1 species